AGAGUUUGAUUAUGGCUCAGAUUGAACGCUGGCGGAAUGCUUUACACAUGCAAGUCGAACGGCAGCACGGGAGCUUGCUCCUGGUGGCGAGUGGCGAACGGGUGAGUAAUGCGUCGGAACGUACCGAGUAAUGGGGGAUAACGCAGCGAAAGCUGUGCUAAUACCGCAUACGCCCUGAGGGGGAAAGUGGGGGAUCGCAAGACCUCACGUUAUUCGAGCGGCCGACGUCUGAUUAGCUAGUUGGUGGGGUAAUGGCCUACCAAGGCGACGAUCAGUAGCGGGUCUGAGAGGAUGAUCCGCCACACUGGGACUGAGACACGGCCCAGACUCCUACGGGAGGCAGCAGUGGGGAAUUUUGGACAAUGGGGGCAACCCUGAUCCAGCCAUUCCGCGUGAGUGAAGAAGGCCUUCGGGUUGUAAAGCUCUUUCAGCUGGAACGAAACGGUACGCUCUAACAUAGCGUGCUAAUGACGGUACCGGCAGAAGAAGCACCGGCUAACUACGUGCCAGCAGCCGCGGUAAUACGUAGGGUGCGAGCGUUAAUCGGAAUUACUGGGCGUAAAGCGUGCGCAGGCGGAUUGUUAAGCAAGACGUGAAAGCCCCGGGCUUAACCUGGGAAUGGCGUUUUGAACUGGCAGUCUAGAGUGCGUCAGAGGGGGGUGGAAUUCCACGUGUAGCAGUGAAAUGCGUAGAGAUGUGGAGGAACACCAAUGGCGAAGGCAGCCCCCUGGGAUGACACUGACGCUCAUGUACGAAAGCGUGGGUAGCAAACAGGAUUAGAUACCCUGGUAGUCCACGCCCUAAACGAUGUCAACUGGUUGUUGGGGGGAGUGAAAUCCCUUAGUAACGAAGCUAACGCGUGAAGUUGACCGCCUGGGGAGUACGGUCGCAAGAUUAAAACUCAAA
rnacentral:rRNA from 1 species